rnacentral:lncRNA from 1 species
GCAAGAGGAGUGCCUGGGGCUAAUGUGAAGUUUAAUAUACUCACUUCCUCUUCUUUGACUCGGAGCUAUUUUAUCUCUGGAGCCCUGAAAACAGAUCUAAUAUGAACGAUGAAUACUUUGAACCCCGUAAGUUAUACAUUUAAGAUAGGUGUAGAAUUACAGAUGGUUUUUUUUUGAGAAGUUUUCUCUGGUUUUGCUCAUUCGCUAUCUAUUCCAGAUCUAUUUUUGUGAAUCCAGUGCUGGAGUUUUGUUGAUAUUAGAACUGUAGGACAUGUAGAUGACACCUUUGUCGCUGGCUAACACAUCCUUACACAAAUCUCCCUGUUGGAGAUUCCGGUGAGCAGAGGCUUCGUGGUUCACUGGCUGGGUCAGUUAACCAUUUUAUUCUAAUAUUGCCAUGUCCACUCUGUAUUCUCAGACUGACCUGAUGACAACAGUGGAUGAGGGAGCAGUGGUUGUCCUGCAAAGGUGGAUACCUAUAAAUGCUCUACCUGGAUGUGACAGAAAGAAGCCAAGCAGGCACACGACAAGGUCACUCUCUCCAACAGGUGGCUUCCAUGUCUGUGUGAAGGAGGCGAAGAAGUGCUAUCACGCUGGCCCCAGCUCCCUUUAG